CCUACGGGAGGCAGCAGUAGGGAAUAUUGCGCAAUGGGCGAAAGCCUGAUGCAGCAACACCGCGUGAAUGAUAAGGUCUUUGGGGUUUUAAGGUUCUUCAAUAGGGGCGAAUGUUGACUGUACCUAUAAACGAAGCACCGGCUAACUCCGUGCCAGCAGCCGCGGUAAUACGGGGGGUGCAAGCGUUAUCCGGAAUUAUUGGGCGUAAAGCGUUCGUAGGCGGCAAGGUAAGUCUGAUGUGAAAGCCCGGGGCGCAACCCCGGAUCGGCAUUGGAGACUUUGCAGCUAGAGUGUGGUAGAGGUAAGUGGAAUUCCUAGUGUAGCGGUGAAAUGCGUAGAUAUCAGGAGGAACACCAGUGGCGAAAGCGGUCUACUGGACCAUAAUUGACGCUGAGGAACGAAAGCGAGGGGAGCAAACGGGAUUAGAUACCCGAGUAGUC
rnacentral:rRNA from 1 species